UCUGGAUCUUUCUUUUGCUUUCGCCUAUUCUCUCUCGCAUAUCUCCAGUUGCUUCGUUUUUGGUGAGGAAGGUGCUCGAAGGCUCUUCCAUUUUAUUCCGUCGAUUUUUCCUUUCUUUCCUCUCUGUGCUUUUCUCCCCGUGUCAACCCUUCGUGUUUCCCUGCUUCUCUCGCCGCGUCGAUCGUCGAUCGUGUGUUGUGUGAAGAGUUUCUUUUUCCGGCUGAUUGUAUUGUUUCAGGAAAAUUGGUGUGCGAAUUUUAGGGGUUUUUUGUACAACCUUGCAAACCCCUGAUUAAGGUGGCGGUGUUUGCUUGGUUUUGUGCUCUGGUCUUAGAAAUUGAAUAGUUUUUUUUUUGGUGGUUUCGUGCUAUCUUGAACUCCAAGUGGAAAGCCCAGGGAACAGGAAAUGGACAAUCACAAUUAUUAUUGAGGAUAUGAAGAAGUGGAAAGGUACCUGGUGGAAUGCGAGUUUUGAUGCUUAAGACAAAGAAUGUUGUUUGGAAGCAUGACUAUGUCUGCAAGAGAUUUACUGAGGAUCCAGAUUGUAUCAUGUUCUGAAUGAGCUUGAAAGAGGAGUUGCUCUUCAUCUGACAAUUGCAUCGCAUAAUAGGUUUUGUUAAUCUACCCGUGGUGGAACCCAGCUGUUGAGAGGCAACCAUAAGAUAGAAUCCACCGGAUAGGGCAGUACAAACUGAUCAGAAUUAUGAGAUUGGUUUGGAAUUUGAUUAUUUCAAUUUGUUUUUCUGGAUUAUAUUUCAAGGACAAGGUGUGGAUUAGAUAGCAGGAUCUGGUUGGAAGACAAGAUUUUGUGAAAGAAAGGAUUUGUGUUCGUGCAAGUGAUUUCAGACAGAUUUCAAGCUGGGGUGUAGAGAUUUGAUUCAUAUUGGUGGAUUUGGGAAAAUGAAGGAAGAGAAGGAAUUAAAUUCUGGAUUUAUCAAACACUUUGUAGAUAUUCCAUGCAUUUUUGCAGCUGGAAUCUUUUGGAAAUGGAGAGCAAUCUGUCUCAGUUUUGGAAUGUACUGGAAUCAAAGAAGCUAACUCAAGAUGCUAUUUCAAAGCUGGAGGAGGCAUUGUUGAUUAAUCCUAGGAAAUAUGAUGCUCUGUGGUGCUGGGAAAUGCUUAAAUUGCUUGCACAUUAUGCACCCCGGACCAGAAUGAGGCAAAGGUUCCAAAAGGUGUUAUACUGCUUCCAGAAGGCUUUCAACGGGGGACAAGUUGGGAAUUGUGUGUGACACGUGUCGGUCAUCGUGCUAUUCUCUUUUGGGGUUUAUUUUGCUUGCUUUUUGUUUCCGUUUCUCCCUUGCAUUGGUGGUUUUCUAUCGCUCUCAGCUUCUCUUUUCUUUUGGUUCCCGUUGUGUGCUUCUCUUUGGUGCGCUUUUGUGUUUUGUUCUUCUCAACCAUGGUUUUCAGAACGUCGCAGGGUUUUAAACUGUCAGAGGAGUUGACUCCUGUGGCGAGAGAGGUCUAGGUGCGUCAUUUGGGGAAGCAGAGGUUGGGGAAAGAGACAGAGGGUGUAAGAAGUGUCGUUGCAGGAUAAAUGGAAAACAUUUGCCCAACUCCUGUUAAUCAGUUAAUACCAUACAUGAAGGCUGACAAAAUCAAAGUUCGAAUAUGCAGAAUUUGGAAAUCCAUCAUCCUAGGAACUAUUCAGAAGUACACUGCCCUGCACUGUGUGUUCGUCGAUGAAGCGCAACAUGCGGUAGAGGGCUGUACAUCAGAUGGUGAUCACGAUGUUAUGGCCUCCAAAAUUGAAGCCGGUGGAUGUUAUGAAAUCAUGGAUUUUCGGACUAUUAAAAUUAGGGCACAAUACAAGGCAGUACCGCAUGAAACCUUGAUUUUGUUCAACUCGAAAACAGUGUUUCAAAAAUUAGCAAGCGUCUUCCCUCCUAUCCCUCGCCAUUGAUUUUUUCUGCAAGAUUAUAACACACUUUACCCUCGCUUGAACAGUGUUGACAUUCUCACAGAUGUCAUUAGACGUAUAAGCGCUAUACAGCCUUUUGAAUCCAAACAGAUUAAUCAGAGGAUUGCAUACAAGUGUGAUGUCCGAAUCGAGAAUAUAAGGAAAGAGGAAGUGAUGGUUACGUUGUGGGGGUACAUUGGAGAAGCCUUUUCUUCUUUGUCAAUGGACGCGUUUUCUUUGCCCGUUGUUGUUUUCACAAGUCUGAAAGUUUUCUGAUUAUACAGAACGUUUGAAAAUGCUCCCUCCCUCUUCGAAACAAGCAAACGAAGCUGAAAUUUUGCAGACUGCUAAAAGGGUUACGAUUGAUGAAUUAGCGUUUUUGGAUCCGGACUUGCACAAGUGACAAAAUAUGUUACAAGACGACACAUUUCUAUGCAAAGCAUUUGUUAAGCGUUUUGACACGUGCUUCGAUUGGUGGUACAAUGCUUGCCCGCACUAUGUAAAACAGAUGCACAAGGAUCUAACCAGUGGCCAGCUCAUUUGCCAAAAACAUCCCAACCAAAUUCCAGCGCCUUGGUACAAAGUUAAUCUCAUUCUCAAAGAUGAAACAAAUGAAAUGAAUGCUUUGAUAAUCGGUAAAUGCG